GUUUGAUCAUGGCUCAGGACGAACGCUGGCGGCGCGCCUAAUACAUGCAAGUCGAGCGAGAACCAGGGCUUGCCCUGGGGAGAGCGGCGAACGGGUGCGUAUCACGUGAGCAACCUGCCCCGAAGACCGGGAUAACUCGAGGAAACUCGGGCUAAUACCGGAUGCCCUCGAUGGACCGCAUGGUCCGACGAGGAAAUGGAUUCCGCUUCGGGAUGGGCUCGCGGCCUAUCAGCUUGUUGGUGGGGUAACGGCCUACCAAGGCAACGACGGGUAGCUGGUCUGAGAGGACGAUCAGCCACACUGGGGCUGAGACACGGCCCAGACUCCUACGGGAGGCAGCAGUAGGGAAUCUUGCGCAAUGGGCGAAAGCCUGACGCAGCGACGCCGCGUGCGGGAUGAAGGCCUUCGGGUCGUAAACCGCUUUCAGCAGGGACGAAAUUGACGGUACCUGCAGAAGAAGGCCCGGCCAACUACGUGCCAGCAGCCGCGGUAAUA
rnacentral:rRNA from 1 species